rnacentral:misc_RNA from 1 species
GAACGCACAUUGCGCCCUUUGGUAUUCCGAAGGGCAUGCCUGUUCGAGCGUCAUUAUCACCCCUCAAGCCCUCGGCUUGGUGUUGGACGGUUUGGUGGAGACCCCUUUUGCGGGCUUCUACCCCUCCCAAAGACAAUGACGGCGGCCUCGUUGGACCCCCGGUACACUGAGUUCUUCACGGGACACGUAUCGGACACACGGGUUUACGGGACACGGUCUGCCUCCCCUCAGGGAGAAUCUUUUUUAUCAAGGUUGACCUCGGAUCAGGUAGGGAUACCCGCUGAACUUAAG